rnacentral:lncRNA from 1 species
CCCUCAUUUACCGUGUGUGUAUUUAUAGUCCUAAUUCUGUUCUAUCCUUUGUCGGUUAUUAGCUUGUGUUAUGUGUUGAACCAAGUCAGAAUUCUCAGUAAAGUCUGUUUGGAAUUAUGCGUCUUCGUUUGCUGUCCUCAUUCCUUGACGACCCGUGACAGAAUAACCGACCGCAUCAAAAUAAACCAAGCAUGGACUCACCCGCGUUACGUCUCCUCCUCAGACCAGAAAGCCAAAGGUGGCUGGAUUAUUUGGGCUGGAUGCUCCAGAACAGUGGCCUCUCCCUCACAGAGACACCAACAGGGCUCGUCCAGGAACCAAAGCCGGAGUCCACCAAAGCCGAGGAGACUGAGCACGCUGAUCAGUUCACUGUAAAGCCAGGAGCGAACAUGAACCUCAUAGAUCUGUGGUCCGCGGAUCCAGUUCCCACCCAAGUACCCACCCUCAAACCUUUGUCUUUGCCGGUCCCGUACGGAUUGUUAGAGGCUCCAGUCCCGUCUGGAGAUCUUCCUCCUCCGAUGUCUCUAUCAGAUUUCCUGGUCCCAUCUCCUCCUCUGGUUUCAGUCAGUCCCCUGGAUUCGUCGGCCCCACUGGUGUCGUCCAGCUCCUCGGCUCUGCCUCCGCCGCUAGCUCUGUGCGGCUCAUCAGCCUCGCCUCAGUGUUCCUCUCCACCAGCUCGGUAUGGCUCCGAGUCCCCGGCUUCACUUCGGCCCUCCAGGCCCAUGUCUCCACCUCGGCCUGUCAGCCCGCCGACUCCGCUCUGGCUCUGUAUUCCUUCGGCUCCACCGAGGCUUGUCUGCCCUAGGACUCCUCUGGGCUCCCUCGUACAUCCGGACAAACCUCGGUCGGUCGUCGCUCAGCUUCCGCCACGGACUUCCGGGUCUCCGGCUGCGCCUCGACCCUCCACCCCUUCGGCUUCACCGGGCUCCUCCCUUCCUCUGGUUUCCCUGUCAUCCUCGCUCGCUCCAUCAUCGCCCUGGUCAGCCGAAUCCCCGGCUCUGCCUCAGUCACGUGAGCCAGCCGCUCCACCUUGGGCUUCCAGGCCUUCGAUGUCCUGGUCCAUCGGCCUCUCUGCUCCGGUUCCGCCACGUACCCUGGUUCCGCCUCAGUGGAUCGGCUUCUGGGUGUCGCCCAGUCCUUCAGCCAAAGCUCCUCCCUGGUUCUUCCCACCGUCGGCUCCACCAUGGUGUUGGUCUCCUCCGAAUUCUCCAGGUUCCAGUCCUUCACCAGCACCACACCCUCCGCCUAAGCCUCCACCCUCUUUCCUCUUUUCUGUCAUCUACUGUUGUGGCGUGAGGUCACGCCUUCCGAAAGGGGGAGCUAAUGUCACGAUUAUGUUUAGUUUCUGUAAUGAGCUCUCAUUAGUUACCAUGGUUUCUGAUUAGUUAAUCCUUGUCCAGCUGUUCCUGCUUAUUUCCCUCAUUUACCUUGUGUGUAUUUAUAGUCCUGAUUCUGUUCUAUCCUUCGUCGGUUAUUAGCUUGUGUUAUGUGUUGAACCAAGUCAGAAUUCUCAGUAAAGUCUGUUUGGAAUUAUGCGUCUUCGUUUGCUGUCCUCAUUCCUUGACGACCCGUGACAGGUGGAACCUCAUCUGUUUAAAACUUUAAAAUAUUUUUACAUUUAAAAAUCAAGCCAUGGCAACAUGUUUUUCCAUUACUUUAAC